GACGAACGCUGGCGGCGUGCUUAACACAUGCAAGUCGAACGGAAAGGCCCUGCUUUUGUGGGGUGCUCGAGUGGCGAACGGGUGAGUAACACGUGAGUAACCUGCCCUUGACUUUGGGAUAACUUCAGGAAACUGGGGCUAAUACCGGAUAGGAGCUCCUGCUGCAUGGUGGGGGUUGGAAAGUUUCGGCGGUUGGGGAUGGACUCGCGGCUUAUCAGCUUGUUGGUGGGGUAGUGGCUUACCAAGGCUUUGACGGGUAGCCGGCCUGAGAGGGUGAGCGGCCACAGUGGGACUGAGAUACGGCCCAGACUCCAACGGGAGGCAACAGUGGGGAAUAUUGCACAAUGGGCGGAAGCCUGGUGCAGCAACGCCGCGUGCGGGAUGACGGCCUUCGGGUUGUAAACCGCUUUCGCCUGUGACGAAGCGUGAGUGACGGUGAUGGGUAAAGAAGCACCGGCUAACUACGUG
rnacentral:rRNA from 1 species